rnacentral:rRNA from 1 species
GAUGAACGCUGGCGGCGUGCCUAAUACAUGCAAGUCGAGCGAACGGACGAGAAGCUUGCUUCUCUGAUGUUAGCGGCGGACGGGUGAGUAACACGUGGAUAACCUACCUAUAAGACUGGGAUAACUUCGGGAAACCGGAGCUAAUACCGGAUGAUAUUUUGAACCGCAUGGUUCAAAAGUGAAAGACGGUCUUGCUGUCACUUAUAGAUGGAUCCGCGCUGCAUUAGCUAGUUGGUAAGGUAACGGCUUACCAAGGCAACGAUGCAUAGCCGACCUGAGAGGGUGAUCGGCCACACUGGAACUGAGACACGGUCCAGACUCCUACGGGAGGCAGCAGUAGGGAAUGGUCCGCAAUGGGCGAAAGCCUGACGGAGCAACGCCGCGUGAGUGAUGAAGGUCUUCGGAUCGUAAAACUCUGUUAUUAGGGAAGAACAUAUGUGUAAGUAACUGUGCACAUCUUGGCGGUACCUAAUCAGAAAGCCACGGCUAACUACGUG